rnacentral:rRNA from 1 species
CAAUAGCGUAUAUUAAAGUUGUUGCAGUUAAAAAGCUCGUAGUUGGAUUUCGGGGUGGCCUGGCUGGUCCGCCGCAAGGUGAGUACUGGUCAGCCGCCCUUCCUCUCGAAAGCCCCGACUGCCCUUUACUGCAGUGGUCGGGUAGUUCGGGACGUUUACUUUGAAAAAAUUAGAGUGUUCAAGGCAGGCUAUCGCCUGAAUACAUUAGCAUGGAAUAAUGGAAGAGGACCUCGGUCCUAUUUUGUUGGUUUCUAGGGCCGAAGUAAUGAUUAAGAGGGACAGUUGGGGGCAUUCGUAUUUAAUUGUCAGAGGUGAAAUUCUUGGAUUUAUGAAAGACGAACUAGUGCGAAAGCAUUUGCCAAGGAUGUUUUCAUUAA